CUACACCAUCACAAUAAAUACAUGUAAUAUAGUCUACACCUUCACAAUAAAUCCAUGUAAUAUAGUCUACACCAUCACAAUAAAUCCAUGUAAUAUAGUCUACACCAUCACAAUAAAUCCAUGUAAUAUAGUCUAUACCAUCACAAUAAAUCCAUGUAAUAUAGUCUACCUACACCAUCACAAUAAAUCCAUGUAAUAUAGUCUACACCUUCACAAUAAAUCCAUGUAAUAUAGUCUAUACCUUCACAAUAAAUCCAUGAUUUAUUUUAAACAGGUCUAAAGAAACAUGAUAUGAAGAAAACGUAGUUUAUUUCAGAAGAACAGAAUAGCAUACUCUGAGUUAUCAUGUUAGGCCCUGAUCUGGCUAUGGACUACACUAGUUCAUUUAGCAGACACAUUUUAGCCUACAAUUCCGUGGUGGUAUUUUAAAUUGUUUUAUAGUAUGAAGAACAGAAUUGAACACAGCUGAAUAAAAUAGAAAGGAUCAUUUCUCCAAAGGAUUUGAGGGAUUCUCCUAUAUGCUUUAUUUAGAGUUAUUUAUGCAACUUUAGUUGUGAUACAGAUGUUGGGCUGUAUGUUUCAAUCUUUUUAAUACAUUCUAAGGUCGCGUGAUGGGACUUUAAACGAUGAUUUGAUGAAAGGCAUGAGCUCUGUUUUGUUAUUAGGCUGCCUAUGUCAAUCUACUAUCCCCAUGGUAAAACUGUUGACCUAUUCUAUUCUGUGUGAGAAAUACAUAUUCUAAACAUAGCCUGGGACAAGUUGUGGGAUGUGUUAGAUCCCUAAUUAAUACAACCACGAGCAACAACAAAACUGUUUUAAGCCAUGAGGUUGACGCAACAGAUCAGAACAUUUAGCUUAAAAUGUUGAUAAACUAUUAGGCUAUUUCUUCACAUUAUAAACGAGGCAAUGCGCACACGGCAAUAGGUUAUAAGCGCAAACGUUCCAAAAUGCAAUCAAUUGGCAGGAAAACACCAUUCUCAAAAGUGAUCGCAAUUGUAAUUAUGCAUGUAAUGCUUUUUAUUAUUAAGGUGAAUUUUUAAGGUGAAAAUGAUCUUCCCCAAACUUGAAACUCACACACUGUGUAUGUAUGCCAUUUAGACUCUACACCGUUGUGAUACUAACCUUAUCAAAACAUAUCAACCUAUGGGCUAGGCUACAUGAGGUGUGAUACUAACCUUAUCAAAACAUAUCAACCUAUGGGCUAGGCUACAUGAGGUGUGCGACUAUGAUUUUAAAAAGUCGCAAAUAAAAAGGCAUGCGCUGUUUCUUGCCUUACUGCACACAAGCUGGGCAUCAUUCACAAUUGAUAAUAUAUCAUUCACAAUUGAUAAUAUAUUAUUCACAAUUGAUAAUAUAUUGUUCACAAGUGAUAGGCUAAUAUUGUCACCCAUCAGACUGUUCUUGAUUUAAUAUUGUCUUUAUAUAUAUACUGCUCAAAAAAAUAGAGGGAACACUUAAACAACACAUCCUAGAUCUGAAUGAAUGAUAUCAUCUUAUUAAAGACUUUUUUCUUUACAUAGUUGAAUGUGCUGACAACAAAAUCACACAAAAAUAAUCAAUGUAAAUCCAAUUUAUCAACCCAUGGAGGUCUGGAUUUGGAGUCACACUCAAAAUUAAAGUGGAAAACCACACUACAGGCUGAUCCAACUUUGAUGUAAUGUCCUUAAAACAAGUCAAAAUGAGGCUUAGUAGUGUAUGUGGCCUCCACGUGCCUGUAUGACCUCCCUACAACUCCUGGGCAUGCUCCUGAUGAGGUGGCGGAUGGUCUCCUGAGGGAUCUCCUCCCAGACCUGGACUAAAGCAUCCGCCAACUCCUGGACAGUCUGUGGUGCAACGUGGCGUUGGUGGAUGGAGCGAGACAUGAUGUCCCAGAUGUGCUCAAUUGGAUUCAGGUCUGGGGAACGGGCGGGCCAGUCCAUAGCAUCAAUGCCUUCCUCUUGUAGGAACGGCUGACACACUCCAGCCACAUGAGGUCUAGCAUUGUCUUGCAUUAGGAGGAACCCAGGGCCAACCGCACCAGCAUAUGGUCUCACAAGGGGUCUGAGGAUCUCAUCUCGGUACCUAAUGGCAGUCAGGCUACCUCUGGCGAGCACAUGGAGGGCUGUACGGCCCCCCAAAGAAAUGCCACCCCACACCAUGACUGACACACCGCCAAACCGGUCAUGCUGGAGGAUGUUGCAGGUAGCAGAACGUUCUCCACAGCGUCUCCAGACUCUAUCACGUCUGUCACAUGUGCUCAGUGUGAACCUGCUUUCAUCUGUGAAGAGCACAGGGCGCCAGUGGCGAAUUUGCCAAUCUUAGUGUUCUCUGGCAAAUGCCAAACGUCCUGCACGGUGUUGGGCUGUAAGCACAACCCCCACCUGUGGACGUCGGGCCCUCAUACCACCCUCAUGGAGUCUGUUUCUGACCGUUUGAGCAGACACAUGCACAUUUGUGGCCUGCUGGAGGUCAUUUUGCAGGGCUCUGGCAGUGCUCCUCCUGCUCCUCCUUGCACAAAGGCGGAGGUAGCCGUCCUGCUGCUGGGUUGUUGCCCUCCUACGGCCUCCUCCACGUCUCCUGAUGUACUGGCCUGUCUCCUGGUAGCGCCUCCAUGCUCUGGACACUACGCUGACAGACACAGCAAACCUUCUUGCCACAGCUCGCAUUGAUGUGCUGGCCUGGAUGAGCUGCACUACCUGAGCCACUUGUGUGGGUUGUAGACUCCGUCUCAUGCUACCACUAGAGUGAAAGCACCGCCAGC
rnacentral:lncRNA from 1 species